GUUCAUUAUUAUAUGAAUUCAAUGGUUUUAAUUAUUCUUAUGUAAGAGUAAAAGAAGUACAUCUCUGACGUUUAUAACAAACCAAGCCGUUCUAAAAUCGGUUGAAAAUUGAGCAAUCUACAGUGAUUUUAAAAUCCAUGCUCCAUUGACUUUAAUGUUAUGAGCGAUCGAGCAGCCCUGUCCCAAGAUGGCCGCCAUGUGGCGACGUCGCUCCCCAUAGGCUGACAGCGCUCAUGAGCCAUCUAGUGUUUGUAUAUGUCUAUGUGUCAGACGGUCCGAGCGCAAAUCACGGGUCGUCUUGUGGAUGGGAGCACAAACUGUGAGGCCGCGAGGCUGUUUCCCUGAUCGUGUGCUUGCAGUAAAACCUCAUCUUGGCUAGGUAUUAUAGCUUGAUUAAGAAAACUCCAGAUUGGACGUUGGAACGCUGGAUACCUGGAUUCUUCUCUAGACAGAGAUGGCGAGCCUAGCCCGAACUGAACCAACCUUUUGACCGAAGAACAUCAGUCUUCUUUCACAACCUCCAGCCAAGUGGUAACAACACAGACUACCACAACACAGAAAAAGGAACUGAACUGACAUAAAUCACGACUACACGACUAAACAGGACGAAACAAUACACUGAGCUCAGUAAAGACUUGUGGGGUUUUAUUUUAUUUUUGAGAUGCCGGCUUAUUGUAAAUUUUGUUAAUUGUAUAUUUUUUAUGUUCUUAUUUUCCUAAACAUAAUACUCAUUCUUGCUCA